rnacentral:rRNA from 1 species
UACGUAGGGUGCAAGCGUUAAUCGGAAUUACUGGGCGUAAAGCGUGCGCAGGCGGUGAUGUAAGACAGGUGUGAAAUCCCCGGGCUUAACCUGGGAACUGCAUCUGUGACUGCAUUGCUGGAGUGCGGCAGAGGGGGAUGGAAUUCCGCGUGUAGCAGUGAAAUGCGUAGAUAUGCGGAGGAACACCGAUGGCGAAGGCAAUCCCCUGGGCCUGCACUGACGCUCAUGCACGAAAGCGUGGGGAGCAAACAGG